UAUUCUGCCCAUGCGGGAAGGAUGAGAAGCUUCGACUAAGGUUCGAUUCGAGCGUAGCGAGAAAGCGUUGCCGCAGGCAACGACCCGAAGGGCGAAGCGCACUGCGCUGAGUAAUCCUUCCCCCACCACCA
rnacentral:sRNA from 9 species